rnacentral:rRNA from 1 species
GACGAACCACACAAACGUUAUUCGGAAUUACUGGGCUUAAAGGGUGCGUAGGCGGCGCGGAAAGUAGGGUGUGAAAUCCCUCGGCUCAACCGAGGAAUUGCGCCCUAAACUACCGUGCUCGAGGGAGAUAGAGGUGAGCGGAACUUAGGGUGGAGCGGUGAAAUGCGUUGAUAUCCUAAGGAACACCGGUGGCGAAAGCGGCUCACUGGAUCUCUUCUGACACUGAGGCACGAAAGCUAGGGUAGCGAACG